rnacentral:rRNA from 1 species
CCUACGGGUGGCUGCAGUGGGGAAUAUUGGACAAUGGGCGAAAGCCUGAUCCAGCCAUGCCGCGUGUGUGAAGAAGGCCUUCGGGUUGUAAAGCACUUUCAGUGGGGAAGAAAGCCUUGGGGCUAAUACCCUCGAGGAAGGACAUCACCCACAGAAGAAGCACCGGCUAACUCCGUGCCAGCAGCCGCGGUAAUACGGAGGGUGCGAGCGUUAAUCGGAAUUACUGGGCGUAAAGCGCGCGUAGGCGGUCUGAUAAGCCGGUUGUGAAAGCCCCGGGCUCAACCUGGGAACGGCAUCCGGAACUGUCAGGCUAGAGUGCAGGAGGGGAAGGUAGAAUUCCCGGUGUAGCGGUGAAAUGCGUAGAGAUCGGGAGGAAUACCAGUGGCGAAGGCGGCCUUCUGGACUGACACUGACGCUGAGGUGCGAAAGCGUGGGUAGCAAACAGGAUUAGAUACCCUAGUAGUC